rnacentral:misc_RNA from 1 species
AGCCGAGUAUCCUUUUAUGUUGGCUGCAAAAUGGAUCUUAAUCUGUCGAGUUUUUCUUCUGUUGGCAGGUAUCUUAUGUUAACGGCACAUGUCUUAUAUAUAUAUUUUUAGCGUUUGUCUCGUGAGGUCAGAUUUAAUUUGCUGAUUCAAUUGUUGUUUCGUUGGCCAGAGAUUAUGUUAUUUUUCUAGGUUUUGGUAUCGCUUUUUUGUCAUUUUUAUGUUUUAUGCUUUUGCGUCCGUUUACAAAAUCACCAAAGGACAGUGAGCGGGUGAGCGGCGCGAAGCGGAACGAACGAACCAGAACGAACGAACGAACCUGUACGAACGAACGAACUUAUACGAACGAACGAACUUAUACGAACGCCAACGAACGAACGUCAAAUCGGCGGUUCUUGCCGGUGGCUGCAGACCUGAAACAAUCCAAAACCGUUUUUAAAUACAAUGAGUAUUGGAUCCUGAACUCUGAAGCUCCACCGGUAAAAGUUUUGGAUUAGUUUGGUAUCGUCUUACUCCGGAAAUUAAGAAAUCAAGUUGAAUCCAAUGUUCGUCAGUACGAAAACUGCAAGAAGAAUCAACAAGGUGGAUUAAUUCGAUUCUGAUCUGUGUGAGAGGCACAGUAAGUUCUGCAAGACCUUCAAAUCUAUCAUCCCAAAAUCUAAGGUACAGUGACUUCAUAUUAUAUUCUUCGGCGUUCUUCAGCAACCUCACGGCUGUCUUCUGGAACCUGCUGGGUAGGGGUUCGGGCUUCUGUUGUUGGGUCAGCUUAGGCCUCUGUCUGUUGUUGAGCUGGUUUGAUUUUCUGUUGUUAACGAAUACGAUUACGAAUUGCGCAUUGCGACAUAGGGCGAGUAGUGCUACUAAGUACUAACUGAUCGGUAGUAAACGAACUUAUAUGUAUGUACACAAGAUCGAACAAGAUCACGUAUUGCUUGAUGUUGAGGUCUUGUAAUUUCGUUUAACUGAACUUUUAGUAGGUAAUUUGCGUGACAUGUAAUCACGUUCUCACUGUCCUUUUAUCCCUUUAGCCCAACCUUUUGUUAUUGUUUUUUUUGUUUUUACGUUUUGUUUUUCAUAAUUGCUUUAUUCUUAAUUCCUUUAUUCUCUUUGUCUUGUUAUUUUUAACAUAUUAUUAGCACUUAUCGGCUAGCCAUCUAUCGUUUACUAUUUCACCAUAUUUGGCUUAGCAUCCAUUUUGCAAGUCAGCAUACACUGCUACCCGGUGCUAUACACCCAACUUUUAAACAUGUCGGGAAAUUUCAACAAUAUAACUCGGGGGCAGUUGCGAAUACUGCUUGAUAAGAUGGGACAGGAUACACAAGGGACAAAAUCUGUUUUGAUUGAGAGACUUCAAACUUGCCUAAAGGAAGAUAAUUCUGCAUGCCGCUCAAAUAGCCCAGUCGUGCCUUUACAACCGGACGCUGAUGACGUGCCAAGGCUUAGCACAAGAUCACCAUUAAAACCUCCCGAUAUUUCUGGCCUCGAGGCAGCACGUAUUCAUUGGGAAGUAAGUUCACAAGCUUCGGCCUCGUCUUCGAUAGUCUCCGAAAGAGUACGCCGUGCAGGACUACAGGCUAGGGCAUCAUAUUUAGAGCAGAAACAUUUGCUAGAUCGCCAAGCGCAGGAACUUAAGGCUAGGCAGGAGAUGUUGGAGUUGAAAAUGCAAAUUGGGGAAGUCAGUGCGAGGGAAGCAGCGUUAGAAAGGGAGGAGGAAGGAAUUGCAAUGGGUUUUCAGGAAACUGAACGUGAUGACGCCGCGUUUCGGGAUAACGCGCCAAACAUGCAAUAUGUUUCUCAUUCUCCCUCAGCUCAUUCGCCCUCAGCAACUAGGGACCACUUAGAGGACGUUCAUGCCUCACAGUCAACCCAAUCGAACGUGCGUAGCGACAUAAAUCCUUCUUAUGACCUGGCUAGACGACUCCAUCUUCCUCCUUUGGAGAUUUCAACGUUUGAUGGAGAUUUAAGUAAAUAUAAAUGUUUCAUGCGGGCUUUUAAGUCAAAUAUUGCUACAAAGGUAGAUGAUGAAGAUGAAAAAUUGCAUUAUUUAUACCAAUACACUUCCGGACGACCAAGGGAGAUUGUCUCCACAUGCUUACACCUGCCACCAACGAGAGGGUUCGUGGAAGCGGUAAGUUUGCUGGAUAAACGUUACGGGUGUCCGUUUCAGGUGGCGUCGGGUCUGGUCGAUACCCUGAUACAAUGCCCCGCGGUGAGGCUCGAUGACGUCCAGGGAUUAGAAACGUUUGCUAUUCAGUUGAGGGGAACCAUGAAUGCCUUGUUAAGCCUCCCAUGCGGAACGGAUUCAGUCGACAUCAAAACCGUCCGUUUGCUCUUAGACAAACUGCCUUCGUUUUUUAAGGAUAAAUGGCGGAUCAAAGUCGAUGAUAUUGAACAAACAGAGCAGCGAAAAUCAGACUUUAGAGACUUUGUUUACUUCAUUGAAAGGGAGGCGCGCAUUGCAUCCAACCCGUCAUAUGGGAGACAUUUAACAAAUGUAACGAAAAAUUACCAAGAUAGAAAACAUGAAAGCAAAUAUCACGCGAGAGGGACACUUUUAGCCGGUAACGUCAGCUCUCAUCACUCCUCGUGUCUUUAUUGUCAGCAGGAUCAUGAAGUCGCCGAGUGUCCCGAGUUGAGAAUGCAGAGCAGAGAUGUCAAAAUGACGUUUAUACGGUCAAAUAAGCUUUGCUUUGGUUGUUUGUUACCGAAUCAUUUAAGCAAAUAUUGUGAAAAUAAAAAGAUUUGUACAGAAUGUGGGAGUCGGCACCCAACUAUCCUUCAUUUUGACCGAAAACAAACUCCACUCUCAACAGUCACUUUGGGCCAUAUUGCAUCAAGUGGAGGAGCAAAAUUGCAAGUCGUACCAGUGUGUGUUACGUUAUUCGGGGUGACGAAGUUCACGUCUGCCUUUUUGGACUCCGGCAGCACACAUUCGUUCAUUUCAAGAAAUUUACUCGCUAGUUUAGGGGUUGAACCAGCCGAAAGUACUUCAAUUACUCUUUCUACUAUCAACACAGAUCACAAAUUUGAAACAUGCGUUGUUUCGAAGGUUACCAUGGAGGAUUUACAACACAACAAUAAAUUAGAACUUCCUCCGUUAUUUGUUCUAAAUAAGAUCCCAGUGUCCAUCGAGGAUGCCCCGAACGUUAGAGAUUUAAACAAAUGGCCGUACUUGAGACAAAACGGGGUAUACUUAGAAGAAAACUUUAAGCACGACGUAGGCCUUCUACUUGGGAAUAAUGUGGCGGCGGUGAUGGAGCCGUUUGAGGUGGUUCCCAGUCAGAACGGCGGGCCAUUCGCCGUGAGAACCAGGUUCGGAUGGGUCCUAGGUGGGGUUGAUAAGGAUUCUCCGGUUCGUCUGAAAGUUAACCAAUUGCAAGUGGCUCCUGACGACGUUUAUGGUAAUAGGGCUGAAUAUCGGUUGGGUCUGUCCGCAGAAGACAUUAGGUGGCACGAAAUGGUAAAGGCAUCGUGCCAGCUGAUAGAUGGUCGGUACGAAAUAGCCCUGCCGUUUCGUGAUCCAAGUCUUAAACUUCCAAACAAUAAGUCUGUGGCUUAUAGGCGCCUUGUGCAACUGAAGCGCAGAUUCGAGAAUCAGCCCCAUUUCUUGAGAGAAUAUGCCAAGCAAAUUGAUAAACUGUUAGACAACGGCUACGCUGAAAGAGCUCCCGAUCUCUCGAGCAAUGCAGAAGGUAGGAUAUGGUUUGUGCCCCAUCACGGAGUCGAACACCCUGUUAAGAAAGGCAAAUUACGCGUUGUUUUUGACUGCGCUAGCUCCUUUCAAGGAAGAAGUCUAAAUGAGGAGCUUUUACAAGGACCUGACCUUACCAACACCCUGACAGAUGUUCUACUUCGUUUCCGACAAGAACCCGUUGCCUUCAUGGCGGACGUCGAGGGUAUGUUCUUACAGGUGAGGAUUCCCGAGAAACAACGUGAUUUUUUGCGUUUCCUAUGGUGGCCCAAUGGAAACAUCGCCUCGAAUCCUAAGGAAUAUAGGAUGACAGUUCAUCUUUUUGGCGCUGUUUCCUCUCCUAGCUGUGCAAAUUUUGCGCUUCGUCGCACCGCUCUAGACAAUGAACGGUUGUACGACCCAUUGGUGUCUAGGACAGUUCUUAAUAACUUUUAUGUGGAUGAUUGUCUUGCAUCGACUGGAAAAGAAGAUGUUGCUGUGAAGCUGGCAUCUGAUCUUAAGCAAUUGUGUCUGAGAGGUGGAUUUAAUCUCACCAAGUUUGUUAGCAAUAGCGUUACAGUUUUGAAAUCCAUUCCAGAAGUUGACUACUCGCCCGGUAUCCAAACACUAGAUUUGACAUCAGAUACUUUGCCUUCUGAGCGAGCCUUAGGCGUUGGCUGGAACGUUCGUUCUGAUCGCUUAGAAUAUCAAGUUGACUUGCAAAAAUUUCGGGGCAAGCCUGUCACAAGACGAGGGCUUCUGUCCGCCACAGCAGGUCUUUAUGAUCCACUGGGGCAUGUUGGUCCGUAUGUAAUGCGGGCCCGAAUGCUCUUACAAGAGCUGACUCGCCUUCGUUUAGGUUGGGACGAUGAGGUGCCAUCCCACUACCACAGACAGUGGAAGCAAUGGUUAGCAGAUCUAGAAUGUCUAUCCCAGUAUAGUCUUCCCAGGUGCAUAUGUUUCGGUGGCCUUUCCUCUGCCGUCCUCCUCGAGCUGCAUCACUUUUCGGAUGCCAGCGAAAGGGGGUACGGGGUGGCCUCGUACGUGCGAGCCGUCAAUGGAGACGGUCAACUGUCUUGCAAUCUUUUGGUCAGCAAAUCCCAUUUAGCACCAAUUAAGCCUCUCAGUAUCCCAAGGCUGGAGCUUUCUGCUGCAACACUAGCUGUCAAAGUCAAUUUAGAAAUACAAAGAGCGUUUCCAUUCGAUUUUAAGCCAGACAUCUUCUUCUGGACUGAUAGCACUACAGUGUUGAAAUAUAUACAAAAUGAGGCAGCGCGAUUUCAUGUGUUCGUGGCAAAUCGUUUGGCAGUUAUACGAGACGGCUCUUCAAUAGACCAAUGGCGAUGGGUUCCUUCGGAGUUAAACCCAGCCGACAUUUUGUCACGCGGGUGCGAUGGAACUACCCUUCUCAAAGAGUGUAUGUGGCGUCAAGGUCCAUCGUUUCUACUUGAAUCACGGGAGAAAUGGCCCCGAUUCCCUGUCUUAGAAGAUAAUGCAGAGGACCCUGAACUAAGAGUGACCACUGUUGCAUUAAACAGCCGAACAGAAAAUGAAACAAAGAUUCAAAAGAAUUCGAGCAUUCAAAAAUUGAUUGAUCAUUAUUCCUCGUGGCAGCGUUUGAAGAGAGCAGUUGCGUGGGUACGACGCGUUAUAGACACAUUGGCUGGUAAACAGAAAUCAGCACGAGCAUCAGAGCUGACUGUAACAGAGCUAAAGUCAGCCGAGAAUAUUAUCAUCAGGGAACUUCAGGGUCAGUACUAUGUGGAGGAGGUAGAGAAUCUGAAAGCAGGACGGGAAGUGCGGCGGUCCAGCAGCCUUGUGUCUUUGGACCCCACGUUGGAGGAUGGUCUUCUGAGAGUAGGAGGUCGUUUAGGGCACGCGAUGGGCGUGGCCUAUGAAAGUAAACAUCCUUUGAUUAUUCCAAAUAAAGGGCGAAUUCCGGAAUUAAUCAUACGGGAUAUUCACGAGAGGAUUGGCCAUGCAGGUCGUCAAUGUGUCCUGGCGGAAUUGCGUAAGAGCUUUUGGCUAAUCAAAGCCAAUACGGCGGUUAGGAGAUGCCUCCACCAAUGCCUCCGCUGCCGCAGGCUUUUUCGUACUACGGAGACGCAAAAAAUGGCUGAUUUGCCUGCAGAUCGAAUACAGCAAAGUGAGCAGCCAUGGGUGAGUACCGGGGUAGAUUAUUUUGGACCAUUCUAUACCAAGAGAGGGCGUGGACAGGUCAAACGUUACGGUGUCAUUUUUACAUGCUUGGCCAUUCGCGCCGUCCACCUGGAAGUAGUCGAAAGUUUGUCGUCCGACUCUUUUAUAUGCGCCCUCAAGCGCUUCGCGGCCAGGCGGGGCUCACAAAUAAGAAUCAUGCGUUCUGACAACGGGACAAAUUUUGUGGGAGCGGAUCGUGAGCUGAAAAAAGAGCUCGAGUUUCUUGUUCAGCAUGAGGCCCAAAUUCGGAGAGACUUGAUAAAUCGAGGUAUUGAAUGGCGUUGGAACCCUCCUGGUGCCUCUCACUUCGGAGGCGCAUGGGAGCGAUUGAUUAGGAGUGUUCGUAAGAUACUGAGCGGUUUACUCAGGGAGCAAACAUUUACUGACGAAACACUAACCACAUUCCUUUGUGAAGUGGAAAGCAUUAUGAAUAAUCGACCCUUGGUACCAGUGACAAGUGACCCUCGAGACGACCUGCCGCUAACGCCCAAUCACUUGCUGCAUUUACGUUCUGUUUUGCUACCAGCCUCAAUGGUGACAGAUAUAGAUGCGUUUAGCAAAAAGAACUGGAAACGAGCAUCGUUCCUUGCAGAGCAGUUUUGGCGACGUUGGCGUGCGGAAUAUCUCCCAUUACUUCAGCCAAGGGCCAAGUGGUCAAGGCUCCAGACAAAUUUGCAGGUAGGCGAUGUGGUGCUUAUUGUUGACAGUUCAGUUCCGCGGGGUGUGUGGCCUCUUGGCUUGAUAGAAGAGGUCAGAACAAGCACUGACUCGAGGGUACGAUCCGUCAAAAUCCGGUGUAAAGGUACCACGAUUUGGCGGCCUGUUCAAAAGCUAGUUAAAAUCACGGAAAGUUAAAAAUCUCUCAAUCUGAAUAAAUUUGAUCCCAUAGUAUCAAAUGGGCCGGGUGUUAAAGCCGAGUAUCCUUUUAUGUUGGCUGCAAAAUGGAUCUUAAUCUGUCGAGUUUUUCUUCUGUUGGCAGGUAUCUUAUGUUAACGGCACAUGUCUUAUAUAUAUAUUUUUAGCGUUUGUCUCGUGAGGUCAGAUUUAAUUUGCUGAUUCAAUUGUUGUUUCGUUGGCCAGAGAUUAUGUUAUUUUUCUAGGUUUUGGUAUCGCUUUUUUGUCAUUUUUAUGUUUUAUGCUUUUGCGUCCGUUUACAAAAUCACCAAAGGACAGUGAGCGGGUGAGCGGCGCGAAGCGGAACGAACGAACCAGAACGAACGAACGAACCUGUACGAACGAACGAACUUAUACGAACGAACGAACUUAUACGAACGCCAACGAACGAACGUCAAAUCGGCGGUUCUUGCCGGUGGCUGCAGACCUGAAACAAUCCAAAACCGUUUUUAAAUACAAUGAGUAUUGGAUCCUGA